rnacentral:rRNA from 1 species
UACAGAGGAUGCAAGCGUUAUCCGGAAUGAUUGGGCGUAAAGCGUCUGUAGGUGGCUUUUUAAGUCCGCCGUCAAAUCCCAGGGCUCAACUCUGGACAGGCGGUGGAAACUACCAAGCUGGAGUACGGUAGGGGCAGAGGGAAUUUCCGGUGGAGCGGUGAAAUGCGUAGAUAUCACUUGGAACGCCAAAGGUGAAAACAGUCUGCUGGGAACUUGCUGACGCUGAGACACGAAAGCCAGGGGAGCGAACGGG